AGCGAAUCGAUAGAUAUUGAAAAUUUGAAUAGUGGUUGGAUUUAAAUUGCUCAGGCGUGCAAAAUUUAAAGUGUCAUAACAUAUUUUUUACGGAACAUGAUCGAGAAAUGAAUUAUCUACACAGACGAGUGUCCUGCUUACACUUGGUGUCCAUAUGAACCAGGCUGUGUUUCUUCAGGGAACUUCUAUGUGUGAACCUUGUGUGACAAAUACUGCAUUCAAAUGGUUUUUCCUCCUGGUGUAUUAGAACAUGGCAAGCAAGUUCAGAUACGCACUUGAACGCCUUCUGGCAGUGAUCACAGACAUGCCAGUCUGAAAAUGAAAUAAAAACUUAACAGAUAACAAAUGUGUGAUGAUUAAGGGCUUACGAAAAUUUGCAGAAUUCCCAAAUAGCGUUGCUGUAAAACAAAACAUCUAUUGCAUUGUUGAGGGAACCAAACAAUAUUUGUGUCCUGUGUUUGAACUCUCAAAUAACUAAGUGUCCGAUUUCGUAUUUCCAGAGUGUUGAAAUAAAAAUAAACAUCAAAUGGCACCAAGCUGUGUCUCUUAAUGGAGCUUUUCUGUGAUAAACAUUUGUGGCACACGUCACAUUUAAACAGCUUUACAACUGUGUGGACGCGAAUGUGCCGUAAGAGGUCAGAAAUCCAGCUGAACACGAUUUCUGGCAAUACUCGAAUACAAACCGUCUAAUCUCUGAAAUAAAGUAGAUAAAUAUAUUAGUUUUAAUAAAUGAAAUGUCGAAGUUAAAUAGAAAACUUCCCAUUUUUAUGGUAACCAUAAUAAGUUGUUGUAUUUUGGAUCGCUCUGAAAUUAAGCAAAUACAAGAGGGCCUGAAAGGCCCAAAGUCGCUCACCCGAGAUAAAAAGAAAUGGCCUGUUCUUUGCAGCCCAAGAUAUCAAUAGAACAAAUGUUCUAACCACGUUUCAUGAAGAAUGAACAACAAAUGGCCCCAUGGCGGAAAUGUUUUUCAACAGACUGGAACCAUUUUUGAACUAGUCCAAGAUAUUAUUGGGACAAAUCUUCUGACAAAGUUUCAUGAAGAUCCAACAAUAAAUGUGGCCUCUACAGUGUUAACAAGGCAAAUAUUCAUGACGCACAACGGAAUACAGACAAUUGACAAAAUGUGAUCAUAAAAGUUUACCAUGAGCAAAAAUAUUAUGCUCAUAAAGCUUGUCCCCAUGUGUGAAGAUCAGCAAGUGACAUUCAGAUUGAACUAAAAAUGUGACUAAAAGUAUUCACAAUGUUUACUAUAAACAUCUGUGGUAGUGCGGUCUCGUUCGCUUACGCAAAUGAACCGGUCACGGGACGGUUACGAGUGAUGUAACUUUGUGAGCACUUAUGUAAUACGGAAAUAUUUAUCGAGUCUAAUUAAAGAACGCUUAUUUCUAA